CCCUUAGAUGUUCUGGGCCGCACGCGCGCUACACUGACGAAUGCAACGAGCUUAUAACCUUGGCCGAAAGGUCUGGGUAAUCUCCAAAUUUCGUCGUGAUGGGGAUAGAUUAUUGCAAUUAUUAAUCUUCAACGAGGAAUGCCUAGUAAGCGCAAGUCAUCAGCUUGCGUUGAUUACGUCCCUGCCCUUUGUACACACCGCCCGUCGCUCCUACCGAUUGAAUGGUCCGGUGAAAUUCUCGGACGCGGACUUGCGAUGUUAAUUCGGAGCUUGACUGUGAAAGUUAAUUAAACCUUACCAUUUAGAGGAAGGUGAAGUCGUAACA
rnacentral:rRNA from 1 species